ensembl:lncRNA
UGGCUGAUUUGAAACUCGCUUCUGGAGCAGCCUCCACAACAUCCACGUCCACUCUUUCCCUCACCACAGCUGUACGGGGCUUUUGCUCAGACAAACCACGUACCCCUGUGUGCGUGAAGCUGGUUACCUGUGACGCUGCCCGCUUGGUCGUUUCAUAACGGCAGGCAAUGUCGUAGGCUUGGGCUAGUGUGUGGGGCCGCUUCUCCAACAACUUCUGUACAAUCUGUGUAUCCCCAAUAGCAUGAGUGAAAACCUCUACACCUAUGGCAUCUUGCUCUUUUUCAGUCCUGUCACUGACAUAUAUGUCAUCCCGUAAGAGGUGGAGAGAUUCACCUGGUUUGCGGACACGCUGUCUCAACUCGACAGCCACUGCAGCGGCAUGUUCUGAGGAUGGACCAUAGGCAAUUUCGACUUCCUCCACCAGGCGGCCGUAAUCCCACUGAACUGACCGUGGGUUCCUGUGGACAAUGGCUCCUGCCGCACCCACCAGGCAGAAUUUUAACUGAAUGCCUUUGGUCUCUUCAGUCCAGCGGUUCGCCUUCGCGCAGCUCUCAAACCGGUGCAAGAAUUCCCUCCACGGUGUAGUGCCAUCAUACUGGCCGGGACGCAGGAUGGGUAUUCUUUCCCUGGAGUCAUACUCAUCCUCACUCUCCGAAGAAACUUGGUGGCGUUUGGAAUGGGGCCGGCGUGCAUGUGACUUAUGCUGCUCAUAGAUGGGGAGAGGGCACUGUGAUGGCAUUUCUACAUUAUUAACAUUCUUGAGUGAAUUGUCAUCAGUGCGGUGCGAAUGUGAGCCCAUGGGGCGUGGGGAAGGACAAGGGGACUGGAGUGCUAUGAAUGAAAGUCCCUUCGUGCUCGCCAGUGUUAACCUUUCCUGCCUGUCCGUCUCUGACCGUAGUUGGAGACUUCGUUCUCUGCUCCAGGGCCAAGUAUUGCCUGUUGCUAAUACUUGGGGUUUAUACCCUUCACUUUCCUUCCUCCUGCCGGUUAGUGAAUAAAACGCCCGCUGUAUGCUUUCUUUGAAGAUUUAUUGAACACUGAGUAACACGGUUACAGCACAUGGGUUUCUCCGGUCGCUACGUCCACACACAACAUUAACAAAAACUCUGCUCCUUCUCUCCCACUCGCUCACUCACUCAUCCCUGCUCCGUACGUGCUGCUCUUAAAGGGGCCGCACCAUUUUACAACAACGUGAUCAGUGACGUCCGAAGCUUCGUUCCGGCACAGUCACGUGACUGCUUCGAUUUGAUUCAAUGGGCUGGAAACAGGGUUCGGGAUUGUCAGUUUGAUACAGUCAAAGUCAGUGUUGUUGUUGUAGCAAAGAGCAAAUUUACAAUGGAACCUGUGGCAAAGAGAGGUCGCUCCGAGAUAUGGCAGCACUAUUGAUUUCCUCUAACACGGUUGGCAAUAGGCAGGCAAAGUCUGUCAUUUGUAUUGUGUAAUUAUGGAUGUUUAUUUUUAUUGUGGAGACCACCCGAUAUUUGGCUGAGCCAAACAUUCAUCGGAGUGAAGAUAUUGGGUCAAACACAAACAUGCGUACCCACAUCUAUUUGUAUUAGCACGUAAUCUUUUGAGCAUUCCUGCCUCAUCGUGCCGUGUGAGGGCGUUUUUUCUAAAGCUGGGGAAAAAGAAACCGACUCAACCCCAAUACUGUGGAGAAAAUUAUGUUUCUCAAUAAAAAUCAAUAAUAAUUUCUUGCCCCAUCCCAUGUGUCCACAAGCACCUCAAUAUCAUGUCAUAAGAAACCUGUCCAAAAGCACAAUCACUGCCCCACUGACCUUUCCUCUGCAAAUCACUUCCCACAUUCAAACAAUUCACAUAAGUCCCUAUGACUGCCAUGAACUGCACAUGCAGUAGGAAGCACUUGCUGGUUCUUCUGCUGGUAUGAUCACAAACAUACAUGCACAAAGGUGCAGAAAGACAUAGAGAAGUGCUUGUUCCACUUCUUUCCACUGGACAGAGAAUUGAAAUACACAAACAAGGACACAAUUCAAACCUGAAAAACAAGUUUUAUUCACAUAGCAAUCCAUGUAUUUAUUAGAUGAUUUAUUGGUUCAACUUUUCAUAAUCAGAGAUUGUGCCAAAUAUACUGGUAGACUAUUCAAUACAUUUGCACUACAAGUUUUCAACAGCAGAGGUCAUCAUAGAGUAGUGUUGUUACCUCCGACCCUCCAGCUUCGAAGCUUGUGUCGAAAUAUGAACCAGUGCAAAGGCGAAGCAAUUGUAUCGGUGCUCGGUUCGUUCGCUGCUGAUCACGUGAUCAGUGACGUCCGAAGCUUCAUUCCGGCGCACAGUCACGUGACCGCUUCGAAUUGAUUCAAAUGGGCGCGAAACAGGGUCGGGGCUUGUCUGUUUGAUACAGUCAAAGUCAGUGUUGUUGUAGUAGUAGUAGUACUACUUUUUGCUACUAGUAGUAGUACUACUACUACUACUACUACUACUACUACUAGUAGCAAAGCGCAAAUUUACAAUAGAACCUGUGGCAAAGAGAGGUCGCUCCGAGAUGUGGGAGCACUUCAAUUUGAUUUCCUCUAACAAGGUUUGUAAUAGGCAGGGAAAGUCUGUCAUUUGUAUUGUGUAAUUAUAGAUGUUUAUUUUUAUUUGGGUUUUGUAGUGGAACUAUACAUGUGCCUUUAUUUUAUUCGUGAAAAACAUCCUUUUUAAAAAUUCUGUUGUCAGGUCCAAUGUUUGGUUUGCCAUCAGCAAUUGGCCUAUAAUAACACCUCAUCCAUGCCAAGCAUGAGGCUGGUCAAGCUGCAACAAGCAUCCAUGGUGGGUACAAUUCCUCUAAUUCAGUAGGUCCCUUCUACAUGUAAUCUUAAUGUUAUAAAUAUAUAAUAUAUGUUUAUACAUUCAUUUUAUUCCAGCAUUUACUCAUUAAAACUAUCCAUGGCCUGUUGUAUUGUAGGUGAUAGGAAGGCCAAGAUUGACGAGGCACUGGUGAACAUGAUUGUCAAGGAUUCGCAGCCCUUCAAGGUUGUGGAAGAUCAAGGCUUUAGGGCCUUGGUGUCUCUUUUGGACCCCACCUAUGUCCUUCCUUCAAGGCAGACCUUGAAAUCUAUGGUGGAGGCCAAGUAUCACGAGGAGAAGCAGAAGGCCAAAGAAAAGGUCCAGAAGGCUACUGCUGUGGCUUUGACCUCUGAUAUGUGGACAUCCAUCCACAUGGACUCGUACCUGGCCUUCACUUGCCAUUUUGUGGAUGAAGGGGACAGGUUGGCUACUGUUUUGCUGGCAGUUGCCAAGUUUGGGAAGAGGCACACGGCUUCAAAUAUUGCCUCUGUGAAAGGGUCCAUAAUGGAGGAAUGGGGAAUCUCCAAAUCCAAAGUUAUGUGCCUAACAACAGAUGGGGCCUCUAACAUGACCCUGUGUAGUACCAUGAUGGAGAUCAGGCACAGCCACUGCAUUGCACACGCAUUGAAUUUAGUUGUAAAGAAAUCAAUGAAAUGAACACCUGGUCUGGAGGAGGUCCGCACUAAGGCGAGGGAUAUUGCCACACACUUCAGAACCAGCACUGUGGCUAGAGAGCGCCUUCUCUGUCUUCAGAAGCAAAUGGGUGCUCCAUGUGCAAAACUCAUUCAAGAGGUGGAAACGAGAUGGAACAGCACCCUGGACAUGUUGCAGAGGCUGUAUGAGCAGAGAGAGCCAGUGGGUGCAGCCUUGGCCUAUCUUCAAACAGAUAUUUCACCACUUACCUCAAACCAGUACGCCGGUAUUGGUCAGUGCAUUGCACUUUUGGCCCCGCUCAAAGGAGCAACAGUCGAGCUUUCUGCAAAGAAGCAUGUGUCUGGUUCAAAAAUAAUACCCAUGGAAUUUUGGGAAAAGCAUUUACUAGGCCUAAUGCACGAGAAGCUUGGGAAUGAUGAAUUGGCAGGACAGCAUGCUCUGGCCACGCUCCUGGAUCCACGUUUCAAAACUAUGGGGUUUGCAACCCCACAAACCAGCAAAAUGCCAUAAAAAAAACUUAUUGCUGAAACAGCCACUGUGAUAAGACAACAAUCUCCUGCACCCUCACAUGAUGAAACACCAUCAACUUCAGAGGAUGCACCUUCAGCGUCUGAUUCCUCAGGUAACAACCUACUGUCAAUAUAUUGUUUAUAUGUAUAAUAUACAUCUUAAUGCAUUCCUAUACCAUUUCAGGACUGUGGGAUCUUUUAGAUACACAAGUAUUUGAGAAGAGGACGGUGAGAAGUGUGUCAGCCGAUGCCACUGUGGAGACCACCAGAUAUUUGGCAGAGCCAAACAUUCCACGAAGUGAAGACCCGCUAAAAUAUUGGGUCAAACACAAACAUGUGUACCCACAUCUAUUUGUGUUGUCACGUAAUCUUUUGUGCAUUCCUGCCUCAUCCGUGCGAGCGCGUUUUUUUCUAAAGCUGGGGAAAUAGUUUCUACAAAAAGAAACCGACUCAACCCCAAUACUGUGGAGAAAAUUGUGUUCCUCAAUAAAAAUCAAUAAUAAUUUCAUGCCCCAUCUCAUGUGUCCACAAGCACCUCAAUAUCAUGUCAUAACAAACCUGUCCAAAAGCAAAAUCACUUCCCACAUUCCAGAUUCAAACAAUUCACAUAAGUCCCUGUGACUGCCAUGAACUGCACAUGCAGUAGGAAGCACUUUCUGGUAUUUUAAAUGAUAUUGCUUACAUAUAAGACACAUAUAAUAUAUAUAUAUUCCAUUAAUUCUUCUGCUGGUAUGAUCACAAACAUACAUGCACAAAGGUGCAGAAAGACAUAGAUAAGUAGAUAAGUGAUUGUUCCACUUCUUUCCACUGUACAGAGAAUUGAAAUACACAAACAAGGACACAAGUCAAACCUGAAAAACAAGUUUUAUUCAUAUAGCAAUCCAUGUAUUUAUUAGAUGAUUUAUUGGUUCAACUUUUCAUAAUCAUGUUCAACCCACAGAGACUGGGCGAAAAUAUCAGCAGGGCCGAGAUCCUCCUUGUGCCACUGGCACGCAGUGGCAC